GGUACACAGUGGGAAGGAGAUAAAUGGAGUUUCGUGUCAUUUAUUUCAGGUGCCAGGGAGAUGCAAACAUCAUUAGAGACAAAUUCUGGUCUGAGAAUCAACCUCCUUAUUCUCUGAUUGGGAAAACGGAGCCUCUCUGAGGUUUAAUUGAACUGAUGAAAGCUGGAGCUGCACCCAGACCUUCUGGCUCCUUGUCUGGGUCCAUCCUUGAGGAGCACUACCCUGGCACUCCUAUGUCUCCACCUUCUUUGAUGACUUCUCUUCCUCAUCAGGAAUGGGCAUUCCCCAAUAUUCCAUCUUUGACGCUCCUUCAUCCUCUAUAAAAUCCAAGCCUAUCCUUUCUUAUAACUUUAGCUACCACCACUUCUAAGCCCAAAUCUUUAUUACCAGUUCUUCCAAGUCCCAAACUCAUUUUGUUUAACCUCAUGCUGAACGUUUCCAACUGUGUGUAUCACCGUUUCUUCAAACACAACGUGACUAAAGCAGAAUUCAUAUCAUAAGUAAGAGCCCUCCCCAUGAACUCUCCUUUUCCACACCAGCUGUCUUCUUUUUCCUCCCAGUGUCUACAUCUCUGUUAUUGGUACCACCAUCCUUGAAAGAACAAUUUCUAGAAUCAAGCCCUUAUUCCUCCAGUGACAUGGACAAGGGAACCAGCAGAAAUAAUAAAUACCACUCAGUCAAGAUAUCAAUACACUCUGCUUCUCCCUGUUGUACUGCCCUGCCCUUACUGUCUGUAAGAAAUAAAAAGUACGGGGAGGGAUAAAUUAGGGAUUUAGGACUAACAGAUACACACUAAUAUAUAAAAAAUAGAUAACCAACAAGGACCUAGUAUAUACACAGGGAACUAUACUCAAUAUUCUGUAAUAACCUAUAAAAGAAAAGAAUCUGAAAACAAAUAGAUAUAUGU
ensembl:lncRNA